AUAAUGAAUUUGGAUUUGAUAGUAAUUUUAAUAAUUUAUUAAAAUGAUUUAGUUCUAAAAUAUGUACAUAUCGCCCGUCGCUUUCGUUUAAUAUGAAAUAAGUCGUAACAAAGUAGGUUUACUGGAAAGUGAGUCUAGAAUAC
rnacentral:rRNA from 2 species